rnacentral:tRNA from 1 species
GGACCCGUAGCUCAGUUGGUUAGAGCGCCCGGCUCAUAACCGGGAUGUCAUCGGUUCAAAUCCGGUCGGGUCCACCA